GGGUGGUUAGUUAAGUGGCAUAACUUCGGUCUCCAAAACCGAUGUCGGGGGUCCGAUUCCCUCACCACCCG
rnacentral:tRNA from 2 species